rnacentral:rRNA from 1 species
AGGGCACCACCAGGAGUGGAGCCUGCGGCUUAAUUUGACUCAACACGGGGAAACUCACCCGGCCCGGACACCGUAAGGAUUGACAGAUUGAUAGUUUUUUCAUGAUUCGGUGGAUGGGGGUGCAUGGCCGUUCUUAGUUCGUGGAGCGAUUUGUCUGGUUUAUUCCGAUAACCAGCGAGACUCUGGCCUACUAAAUAGUUGGCACAUUGCUAUUGUGCGUACAAGUUCUUAGAGGGAUUUUCGGUGUUCAGCCGCACGAAAUUGAGCAAUAACAGGUCUGUGAUGCCCUUAGAUGUCCGGGGCUGCACGCGCGCUACACUGGCAAAAUCAGCGUGCUUGUCCUUCCCCGAAAGGGGUUGGUAAACCCGUGAAAAUUUGCCGUGAUUGGGAUCGGACAUUGCAAUUAUUGUCCGUGAACGAGGAAUUCCUUGUAGGGGCGAGUCAUCAACUCACUCUGAAUACGUCCCUGCCCUUUGUACACACCGCCCAUCGCUGCCCGGGACUGAACCCUUCCAGAAA